AUACGUAGGUGGCAAGCGUUGUCCGGAAUUAUUGGGCGUAAAGCGCGCGCAGGCGGUCCUUUAAGUCUGAUGUGAAAGCCCACGGCUCAACCGUGGAGGGUCAUUGGAAACUGGGGGACUUGAGUGCAGAAGAGGAAAGUGGAAUUCCAAGUGUAGCGGUGAAAUGCGUAGAGAUUUGGAGGAACACCAGUGGCGAAGGCGACUUUCUGGUCUGUAACUGACGCUGAGGCGCGAAAGCGUGGGGAGCAAACAGGAUUAGAUACCCUGGUGGUCCACGCCGUAAACGAUGAGUGCUAAGUGUUGGGGGGUUUCCGCCCCUCAGUGCUGCAGCUAACGCAUUAAGCACUCCGCCUGGGGAGUACGGUCGCAAGACUGAAACUCAAAGGAAUUGACGGGG
rnacentral:rRNA from 1 species